rnacentral:lncRNA from 1 species
AGCGCACCCAUGAGGGAUGGAGCAAGGUAGAGUUAGGUUCCAAUACUCCCUGGUACCACCUAAGACUGCUGUACGUAAAGACAUUUCGCAGAAUUCAGACGGAGAUCAUGAUCAAAUAGCGCCUACACAAUGAAAGAUUCCCUAGAUGUUACAACCUCACAGGAUGGCUAGAACACAGGUUGAAUUAAUAUAAUGUAAUCAGAAAAAUGGCUAGAACACAAUAAGGAUCCAAUAUGUUACUUAUUUUGUAUAGGUAUUUAUUAAAAUCAACAUUAUAUACUUCUGUAAUUAUAAA